UCCAGAGGUCUCGAGCGUUGUUCGGAUUCAUUGGGCGUAAAGGGUGCGUAGGUGGUCAGGUAAGUCGGAUGUGAAAUCCCGGGGCUCAACCUCGGAACUGCAUUCGAUACUGCCUGACUGGAGUACUGGAGAGGAGAUUGGAAUUUACGGUGUAGCAGUGAAAUGCGUAGAUAUCGUAAGGAAGACCAGUGGCGAAGGCGGAUCUCUGGACAGUUACUGACACUGAGGCACGAAGGCCAGGGGAGCAAACAGG
rnacentral:rRNA from 1 species